rnacentral:rRNA from 1 species
AUUGAACGCUGGCGGCAGGCCUAACACAUGCACGUCGAGCGAGCGGCGGACGGGUGAGUAAUGUCUGGGAAACUGCCUGAUGGCGGGGAAUAACUACUGGAAACGGUAGCUAAUACCGCAUACCAUCAGAUGUGCCCAGAUGGGAUUAGCUAGUAGGUGGGGUAACGGCUGACCUAGGCGACGCUCCCUAGCUGGUCUGAGAGGAUGACCAGCCCCAGUGGAACUGAGACACGGUCCAGACUCCUCCGGGAGGCAGCAGGGGGGAAUAUUGCACAAUGGGCGCAAGCCUGAUGCAGCCAUGCCGCGUGUGUGAAGAAGGCCUUCGGGUUGUAAAGCACUUUCUGCGGGGAGGCGUUACCCGCAGAAGAAGCACCGGCUAACUCCGUGCCAGCAGCCGCGGUAAUUC